UUCGGGUGAACAUUAUUCAAGAUUAAACUGUAAAACUCAUAUCUUUAUAUUUUACUAUUGUCAAGAUGAGUCUACACAUGAGAAUGUCUGGAAGAUGAUUUGCAGAAUACUGGGAACUGAAGUUAUUCUACUACAACUAGAACGUACCAAGAGUAUUAUGACAUAUUACAUGUAUAUCACGAUCAUGAGAAACACGAAGUUCUUGGCUUGAUGGCAUCUGGAACACCAACAUGUUUUCUUUUCAAGGACCUGUCCGGUUGUCUGCAACCAUGUUUAAUAUAGAGGGAAAUGAAGGAAUGAGUCUCACCAGAAGAAACGAAAUUAAUUCUCGAAAAGUAGAUGAUGCGAGACUGUCCUUUUUUAACUUUUUCUUUUUCUAUUGAGAAUGCAAGACUAUCUUUUUUUUUUUUUUGAUGGCUCAUUGCCGCACCCCCUCCUCACUUUGAGACUCUGUUAGUAAUAUACUCCAGACAAAUAUUAGUCAUGGGAUGUACAUUUGUUUUUUUUUUGUUUUUUGUAAUUAAUUUAAAAAGUACAAAGAAAUUAUUGACAUGAUGAAAUUACCAUGAUCCCCCCCAACUGUAGAAAACCUUAUUGACCAAGUUGUGACCAUACUAUGCAAAUGAGUACACGAAUAGUGUCAGUACAGAGAACCGAGAUUUUGUUACUAAAUUUUGCCAUAAAUAAGAAAUUAGGCAUAUGCACAUACUAUGUUCGCAAAGAUGAAAUUUCAUGGAGUAUCAAUAAUCAUUUGACGCACAAGUGAUAUCGAACAUGUUACAUGAUUAUAUGACUAGAGAAUAUCCGAUGAAUUAAGAUUGUAGUGCUUUCGAGCGAGCGUAAUACAAUAUAUGAUGAAUGAUUCACACAUAUAUAAAUCAUUCUAGAGGCAAACAACAAUUCUAGAGGCAGACAACAUGAUAGAAAGGUUCAAGAUAUGGAGGAAAACGAAGACUCACACGGAUUAUGACCAUACGUUCCGGCAGGACGAGUAGGGCUUCCCACCACAGGGAUACCUGCAUGUGCAGGACAAUACAAUGAAAAUUGAUAUGAAAUAUCAUAUACUAUAUGAUGAAAAGGGCCAAGAUAUGGAGUAAAAGGAGUACUCACGAUCAUGGAAAAAAUUGUCAAAAAAGUUAUAAACCUAUUGAAUUAUUGCCAACUUAAUUAUAAACCUUUCAAUUUUACCAAUUAACUUCCAAACAUUUUCAUAUUCUAUCAAUUGAGUGCAU
rnacentral:lncRNA from 1 species